UUGAAUUUGUAGGUUCUACUCCCACGACAACUUCGACCAUGUCGACCACUACUCUUCGUCCACCAAGUAUGUGAAAGUUAUUUUGUUUAAAACGUUUCGUGUAUUUUUUUGUCUUUUCUGUUUCAUUAAUACUGUCAAGUAUAAAUACCGGGUAAGUAGCAAUCGCUGCGGCCUCUUUUACUUCGCUUCCAGUACACGCAUUUUUAUAGUAAAAAGUGCUUAAAAUUUAGAACAGGCGUUUUUAGGUGAAAUUACUAAUGGACACGGGAAGUCCUAGAUUGAUAAUAGAAAAUACCGCUACGACUCAGCCCUCAAAAUCCAUAGUCUCUGCACGUGCCGUUGGAUUGUGAGUCUUAUUGUCACAGUCCUAUCCCUAUCAUUUACUGAUAAAACAGUCUUUUAACUUUUUUUUUCGGGAUGAGACGGUUCAAUCGUUGACAUGAAAAUUAUAAAAAAUGUAUUUCGAAUUAUGAUAUUAUUUCGAACUAUCUUUUUUGUCCAUCCGCUCCUAGAUAUUCUUACACAUUUUAUGCUGUAUUUCUUUUAUGAAUUUACCACGAAUGAGUUAUUAAUUAGAUCUCUAAUGAAAAUUAGAAUCUUAUUAACAAUCGAUAACAAAAUCUGUAUACAAAUAAAUGUAUUGUAUAUGUUUGAUGGUUUAAUAGAAAUCUAUUGCCAAACAGUGAAUGGAAC
rnacentral:lncRNA from 1 species